UGACCGCUGGCGGCGUGCCUAAUACAUGCAAGUCGAGCGAACAGACGCGGAGCUUGCUCCUUUGACGUUAGCGGCGGACGGGUGAGUAACACGUGGAUAACCUACCUAUAAGACUGGGAUAACUUCGGGAAACCGGAGCUAAUACCGGAUAACAUGUUGAACCGCAUGGUUCAACAGUGAAAGACGGUCUUGCUGUCACUUAUAGAUGGAUCCGCGCCGCAUUAGCUAGUUGGUAAGGUAACGGCUUACCAAGGCAACGAUGCGUAGCCGACCUGAGAGGGUGAUCGGCCACACUGGAACUGAGACACGGUCCAGACUCCUACGGGAGGCAGCAGUAGGGAAUCUUCCGCAAUGGGCGAAAGCCUGACGGAGCAACGCCGCGUGAGUGAAGAAGGUCUUCGGAUCGUAAAACUCUGUUAUUAGGGAAGAACAAAUGUGUAAGUAACUAUGCACGUCUUGACGGUACCUAAUCAGAAAGCCACGGCUAACUACGUG
rnacentral:rRNA from 1 species